rnacentral:lncRNA from 1 species
AAAAUGGAAACGCUUUCUCAAACUUAAAGCUGUAAGAGAAAGGAUUCCUCUUAACUCUGUACCUCCCUGAUAUAAGGGAGGCAGGGAGGAGGUGGGACGUAGGUCUAUGGGAUAAACUUGUCAAACCAAGUUCAGAAGAAAAUAUCUCCCAUUCCAAAAGUCUUCAUGAUUGAAAGGAAAGGAAUGUCACAUCUGAAGCAAAAAGAGAACAUGAUUCCUCAUCUCAUUUCUUUACAAGAAUCCCAGCUUUUUCUCUCCUUACCAUUCCACUGAGACAGACUGGAAACUGGUGAUAAGAUACAUCCAAUUCCACUUGGAUCCUGGUGAGGCUGUUUAUCCCCAGAUAGCUGCAGAAGUCUGCUUGAGGGCUUUUGGGAAUACAGAUGUCCUAAAUUUCACAAAAUAGCAGAGGAAAAUGUGAUGCACAAAGGGAAAAAGGAUAAAGGGAAAAAGGAUACUCUUACAUGCCUGCGGUAUUUGAGCAUAGAAGUUAAAACAGGCUGUAUUGCGACAAUAAUCAACAAAUUAGAGCAUCACAAUGUCACCACUUACAUUGAAUAAGAAAACGACUUCAUGCCCUUAAACGUUUAUCCCUUCUUUUGAGCUCUUCUGGGAGCAAUUCUUCAAUCUGCU